AGAGUUUGAUCCUGGCUCAGGACGAACGCUGGCGGCGUGCUUCAUACAUGCAAGUCGAACAGAAGCUGACUUCGGUCAGUGGAAAGUGGCGGACGGGUGAGUAAUAUGUAGAGAAUCUGCCUUGAGUGGGGGACAACAGAGGGAAACUCCUGCUAAUACCCCAUAUGAGCUAAGCUGAAAGCUUAUCUUGAAAACUCCGGUGCUCAAGGAUGAGUCUGCAUCUGAUUAGCUAGUUGGCGGGUAAUGGACCACCAAGGCGACGAUCAGUAGCUGGUUUGAGAGGAUGAUCAGCCACAAUGGACUGAGACACGGCCCAUACUCCUACGGGAGGCAGCAGUAGGGAAUUUUGCGCAAUGGGCGAAGCCUGACGCAGCAACGCCGCGUGAACGAGAAGCCCUUCGGGGUGUAAAGUUCUGUCAGAGGGACGAAUCUUGACGGUACCUACAGAGGAAGCACCGGCUAACUCCGUGCCAGCAGCCGGGUAAUACGGGGGGUGCAAGCGUUGUCCGGAAUCAUUGGGCGUAAAGAGUUCGUAGGUGGAUGUAAAGUCUGGUGUUAAAUGCAGAGGCUUAACUUCUGUUCGGCACUGGAUACUUGCAACUAGAAUGCGGUAGAGGUAAAGGGAAUUCCUGGUGUAGCGGUGAAAUGCGUAGAUAUCAGAGGAACAUCGGUGGCGUAAGCGCUUUACUGGGGCCGUAAUUGACACUGAGGAACGAAAGCGGGGUAGCAAAUGGGAUUAGAUACCCCAGUAGUCCCGGGCCGUAAAC
rnacentral:rRNA from 1 species